UACGUAGGCAGCGAGCGUUGUUCGGAGUUACUGGGCGUAAAGAGUGCGUAGGCGGUGUUCCAAGUCUGUUGUGAAAUCUCCCGGCUCAACUGGGAGGGUGCGCCGAAUACUGAAUGACUAGAGUGUGGGAGAGGUGAGUGGAAUUCCUGGUGUAGCGGUGAAAUGCGUAGAUAUCGGGAGGAAUACCGGUGGCGAAGGCGGCAUCCUGGACCGGCAUUGACGCUGAGGAGCGAAAGCCAGGGGAGCAAACGGG
rnacentral:rRNA from 1 species